rnacentral:lncRNA from 1 species
AUGCGGACAAGUCCGAGACUGCCCAGAAGAGACUCCAUUUCUUUGGGUGCUCUAGCUCGAGAGAAGACACCCCUGCCACCUGGGACACCUCGACCUCUACCCGGCCAACCCCUGCUUGCUUGGGAAUUAAAAAAAAAAAAAAAGAAUUGAGUCCUAAAAGUGUGAAGAAUUGUACUGCCAAGUAUCCCGAUGUGUGACUCUGUAAUCUCUGCUCGCUGGUUCGCUGGCCUGUGUGUGUGCGCGCACGCGUGUGAUCCGAUGUCUCUCGGUGUGUGACUUUUUAAAGAGGCGUUUGGGCUGACCCUGCUCCUCCCAGCCCGCAUCUCUUCUUUGUUUCUACCUAUAUUGUAUUGCCCUGAUUCUUUCCGUCUCGUAAUCUCCUGAGGGAGGUGUGUGUAUGUAUGUUUGUGAACGUGUGUAUGGGGAAGGGGUUGGGGGUCGGGGGUCGGGAAGAAGAGAGGACUUGGCGGGGAAGGCGGGUUGGGCUGAGCGCGAAGGGAGUGUCUAGUUAGCUUUUUCUCAUCUCGGUUCUGGCACUUCUUUGGUCCCUCUGGUAGUGACGACCUGUUUCGAAUUGGUCCCAGACCAGGAAACCGUGUCUGAUAUUCUUAGCGACCUAGAAGUGCCCUAACGGCGAGAGAAAAAGACGAGUGUUUAACGUAUUUAUAAAAAUGAUAAGGACAGCUAGGUUUGGGGUGGGGGUGGGGGGCUUUCAGAUGGGAUUCGAUAGUCUUGGAAUCUUGGAAUGGGGCGGGGGGUGGGAGGGUUCCUGAGCCAGGUUGGGGAUCUUGGGGACAUUGCUCUCGAGCGUAUUUGGUUUGGAGAACCUAGCUUGGGGAUCGAACGAUUUUAGAUCCCUGGUUUGAUGGGUAUUCACCUGGUUCUGCUGUAUUGUGGAAAGAAAUGGUUCCUCAUGCAACUCAGCUGUCCCUUGUUUAAGGAUGAAUGAGGGGAGGAGUCACCCCUUUGGUAUAAAAUGAGGGCCCCCCACCCCGCCCCCCGCUUGAAGCUCAUUUGCAUGUACACUUGGAAAGAUCUCCGAUUUGAAGUAAUUUGGGAAGAACAUCUUGUCUGAAGUAAAAGGGAACUGGGAAUCCUCGUUAAGAUGUAAUGGGAAAUCCCUGGUUUUAAGUAAUUUGCAUGGUCUGGAUUUGAGGGAAAGCUCAGGUUUAGUGUGGUUUGGGAAGAAUCUUCUCUUGGAUGUAACUGGAGGGAUCCCUUCCUGAUGUACUUUAAACGAGGAGAACUAACCCAGCGUAGGGGUGGGGCACUUUAGGGGCAGUUUUCCUGCUUUGGCAUACUUCUGAAGAAGAGAUCCCUAAUUUGAUAUUAUUUCCAUGUGAAAGGCUGGAAGGGUAUCAUCCACCGACCUGUGUUUUGGAAGGACUUUAAAGCUUCCCCCACUUUCGUGUUUGGGCUUCACUGGGCAUGGGGGUGGGAAAGAUCUAUCAUUUCAUGUAAUUUAGGGUUUAAUCCCUAGUCUGAAGUAAAUUGUGGAGUUUGGGGAUUGCUGGGUUUGUGACCAGAGGGAUCUCUAAUCUGGUAUAGGGUUAAGAGUUCUCCUGUCUGGUGUGAUGGGAUAAUCUGUGGUUUUCCUGUGGAGGGAUCCCUGAUAUGGCAUAGUUGGGAAGAGGAGGUUCCAGUUUGAUUGGGGAGGCCCCUGGUUUGGGAGGAGAGACCUCAUAUUGGCGUCUUGUUUGUUAAGUUGUUCAUUAUUUGAACUUCUUUUCUGUACAAAAAAAAAUAAAGAUUUGGAAUGAAAUACA